UGAUUGGGCUAUUUUUCACCAUCCAUCGAGAGCCAGAGGGCGAAGAACAAAACAUGGCAACGCUUUACCAAGAUGCCGAAGCUUGGAACGUAGUAAGCCGUUUCCGGAGGCUAUCAAAUGUCCAAUCCAUGGCGUCGAGUACUGUUCUUGACUACGACGAAGAUGAUAAUGCCACUUCGCCUACCAUCUCUGUGAUGGCAAGUUGUUGCGUGUGAUUGAUCAUUUGCCUAUCUAUAAUUUUUGUGAUUUUUCCGUUUUGAUGUUCGGCGGACAAAUGUGAGGUCUACUUGCGGCAAGAAUCUUCCCGCGAGAAAAAUGCGAGUGGUGGAUUCGGAUUUUCGACCGAAGAACCUGGAAUCUACACGGCCUGUUUCGCGGAAGAUGGCGGCAACCGCGACGGAGAGGAGAGCAGCUCCCAUGAUUUAAAUAGCCUCGCAGCUGGGGGAUUCAAAAUCGAAAGAAUCCAAUUCCAAUUUCCAAUCUCCGGCAACGCGAGAUUCACCUGUAAGAAUGAUAUCUAUAGCCGCUAUGAUAGUCCCUCGACCUUCUUCUUCAUAAUUACUGCUCAAAGCGCAAACAGCCCGUCGGAUUUUGACUCCUUCGGCUUCAUCAUCGCAAACUGAUUCUUUACUUGAAGCCCGGAUGCUGUUUGUGCGAUGAUCUCAAAGAAAAACUGCAAGCCGCCUAUCUGAUCGCCGGCUCCGAUUCUCUCCACGAUGUGAGGGAUAUCACUACUAACCCAGAAUGGGAGAGAGCUGACCAGUAUGGGAUUCCCGUGCUCGCGAAAGUGCUCUCCAAUGGCUCGGAGAAAGGGUUUGCAAAAGAAGGUAGAAGGCCGUGGAGGGGAAAAAGGGCAGAAAAGUAGAGAUUUUGACCUGGUCAAAAGUUGCAAACAUGAACAAACACAACAUUCAUUUGAAGGUUUUGUAGGUUUCUUAUCUCCACAUGAUUACCAGAGUUCCAAACUUCUCAAAAAAGAAAAGGCCAUGAUAGUUCUGUUCAUGAAGGGGAGGAUCAUUCAUUUACCCGACUUCCCCGGCCGACCACGCCAUCCGUUUUGGUAAACCUCAAAUUUAACUGUUAGAUUCUGUUUGUUCUUUAUGAUUGCUUGAUUGAUGAUUCUGAAUCUCCCAAUGGCAAAUGAAUCUCCUGUACUCUUUUUGAAAUCUGAUUCAAGAUUUACCUUGCCACACUCAAGCUAGGCUGUUUUGCUUUCCUCAAUUGCUCCUCUGACUGGCUUUACCGUGUCAAUCAAUCACCAAACACUUGCUGCCAAAACAAAGGCGCUUUUUGCUUUCUUUCUUUUGGGUGUAUUGCAAUGACAAGGGGAGGUUUCCAUACCUUUAUAAAGAAUGCUUUGUUCUCCUCUUCAAUUGUUGUGUGAUCUCAC